UACGUAGGGGGCAAGCGUUGUCCGGAUUUAUUGGGCGUAAAGAGCGUGUAGGCGGCCAUACAGGUCAGCUGUGAAAACUCGAGGCUCAACCUCGAGACGUCGGUUGAAACCGUAUGGCUAGAGUCCGGAAGAGGAGAGUGGAAUUCCCGGUGUAGCGGUGAAAUGCGUAGAGAUGUGGAGGAACACCAGUGGCGAAGGCGACUCUUUGGCCUGUAACUGACGCUGAGGCGCGAAAGCGUGGGGAGCGAACAGG
rnacentral:rRNA from 1 species